rnacentral:rRNA from 1 species
AGCGAACGCUGGCGGCAGGCCUAACACAUGCAAGUCGAACGAAGCCUUCGGGCUUAGUGGCGGACGGGUGAGUAACACGUGGGAACGUACCUUUUGGUUCGGAACAACUCAGGGAAACUUGAGCUAAUACCGGAUGAGCCCUUAGGGGGAAAGAUUUAUCGCCGAAAGAGCGGCCCGCGUUAGAUUAGCUAGUUGGUGAGGUAAAGGCUCACCAAGGCUACGAUCGAUAGCUGGUCUGAGAGGAUGAUCAGCAACACUGGGACUGAGACACGGCCCAGACUCCGACGGGAGGCAGAAGUGGGGAAGCUUGCGCAAUGGGCGAAAGCCUGACGCGGCCAGGCCGCGUGAAUGAUGAAGGUCUUAGGAUUGAAAAUUCUUUUACCAGGGACGAUAAUGACGGUACCUGGAGAAAAAGCCCCGGCUAACUUCGUGCCAGCCGCCGCGGUAACAC